ACUCGGCCUCAGUUCCUCAUCACUGUUCCUGUGCUCACAGUCAUCAAUUAUAGACCCCACAACAUGCGCCCUGAAGACAGAAUGUUCCAUAUCAGAGCUGUGAUCUUGAGAGCCCUCUCCUUGGCUUUCCUGCUGAGUCUCCGAGGAGCUGGGGCCAUCAAGGGUGAGUGCUCAGGAGGACGCAGGAGCGUCGGGCGGACCAUGUGUCAACUUAUGCCGCGUUUGUACAGACGCAUAGACCAACAGGGGAGUUUAUGUUUGAAUUUGAUGAAGAUGAGAUGUUCUAUGUGGAUCUGGACAAGAAGGAGACCGUCUGGCAUCUGGAGGAGUUUGGCCAAGCCUUUUCCUUUGAGGCUCAGGGCGGGCUGGCUAACAUUGCUAUAUUGAACAACAACUUGAAUACCUUGAUCCAGCGUUCCAACCACACUCAGGCCACCAACGAUCCCCCUGAGGUGACCGUGUUUCCCAAGGAGCCUGUGGAGCUGGGCCAGCCCAACACCCUCAUCUGCCACAUUGACAAGUUCUUCCCACCAGUGCUCAACGUCACGUGGCUGUGCAACGGGGAGCUGGUCACUGAGGG
rnacentral:misc_RNA from 1 species